CCCUUAGAUGUCCUGGGCCGCACGCGCGUUACACUGAUGCAUUCAACGAGCUUAUAACCUUGGCCGAGAGGCCUGGGCAAUCUUGUUAACGUGCAUCGUGAUAGGGAUAGAUUAUUGAAAUUAUUAAUCUUGAACGAGGAAUUCCUAGUAAACGCAGAUCAUCAAUCUGCAUUGAUUACGCCCCUGCCCUUUGUACACACCGCCCGUCGCACCUACCGAUUGAAUGUUUCGGUGAAGAUUCCGGAUAGGACUUUUUUGAUUUAUUUCAAUUUUGUCUUAAAAGCUAUCUAAACCUCAACAUUUAGAGGAAGGUGAAGUCGUAACA
rnacentral:rRNA from 1 species